rnacentral:rRNA from 1 species
AUUGAACGCUGGCGGCAUGCCUUACACAUGCAAGUCGAACGGCAGCACGGGGGCAACCCUGGUGGCGAGUGGCGAACGGGUGAGUAAUACAUCGGAAUGUACCCAGUAGUGGGGGGAUAACUAGUCGAAAGAUUAGCUAAUACCGCAUACGCACUAUGGUGGAAAGCGGGGGAUCGCAAGACCUCGCGCUAUUGGAGCAGCCGAUGUCCGAUUAGGUAGUUGGUGGGGUAAAAGCCUACCAAGCCUGCGAUCGGUAACUGGUCUGAGAGGACGACCAGUCACACUGGGACUGAGACACGGCCCAGACUCCUACGGGAGGCAGCAGUGGGGAAUUUUGGACAAUGGGGGAAACCCUGAUCCAGCAAUGCCGCGUGUGUGACGAAGGCCUUCGGUUGUAAAGCACUUUGGCGGGACGAACGGACGCUUCUAAUACAGAGU